rnacentral:rRNA from 1 species
GUAGGUGGCAAGCGUUAUCCGGGAAUUAUUGGGGCGUAAAGCGCGCGCAGGCGGUUUCUUAAGGGUCUGAUGUGAAAGCCCACGGGCUCAACCGUGGAGGGUCAUUGGAAACUGGGGAACUUGAGUGCAGAAGAGAAAAGCGGAAUUCCACGUGUAGCGGUGAAAUGCGUAGAGAUGUGGAGGAACACCAGUGGCGAAGGCGGCUUUUAGGUCUGUAACUGACGCUGAGGCGCGAAAGCGUGGGGAGCAAACAGGAUUAGAUACCCUGGUAGUCCACGCCGUAAACGAUGAGUGCUAAGUGUUAGAGGGUUUCCGCCCUUUAGUGCUGCAGCUAACGCAUUAAGCACUCCGCCUGGGGAGUACGGUCGCAAAGACUG